GGGACAAGUCACUGAACUUGGACUUUAAGCUCAAAGUUAAAAACCCAGCUUCACCACUUUAUCAGGGACCGGACACCAGAGCAUUCUUCAGAAAAUUGAAGUCUGUGAGUGCAACUUUGCAUGUGAGCACAAUGUAACUGCUUCAUCAUGGGCCAUCUGAGGCAGCUCUUCGAUUAGAGUAGUCCGAAGGAAAGCCCGUGAUACAUCGCAGUGCUCUUCCCAGGUCACAGGUGUGGGAGAUGAGGUUCACAAAUGGUGAGAGAGAAGAUGUGCCCUUGGGGCCAAAAGGGUGACCAGCAAGGGCACUGGCCAAUGGGGGUCUUAAAAGAUGUGGAGGAGGCCCCACCUCUGGAGUGUGAAAAUCUGCCUGCCUAUACCCCAUCGUGCUCAGAGCCUUUUUAAGGGUUUAAGCUUAGCCCAUGGAACCAUGAACAUCUGGCUCUUUUUUUCCACCCUACUGAAACA